GGUAGCUAAAUGCGGAAGAGAUAAGUGCUGAAAGCAUCUAAGCACGAAACUUGCCCCGAGAUGAGUUCUCCCUGAGACUUUAAGUCUCCUGAAGGAACGUUAAAGACGAUGACGUUGAUAGGCCGGGUGUGUAAGCGCAGCGAUGCGUUGAGCUAACCGGUACUAAUGAACCGUGAGGCUUAACCUUACAACGCCGAAG
rnacentral:rRNA from 1 species